AGCCACGUCGUAUAACGGUAUUAUGCUUGCUUCGGAAGCAAGUGACCCAGGUUCGACUCCUGGCGUGGCUA
rnacentral:tRNA from 1 species